CGGGAAAAUGGGAUGGUGCUCGCGAAUCUCUUUUUUGAGCAACCCGACCCACUGAAUUCGGACCCUAUAUAUUUAUGUAACCCUAAUUCCUUUUCAUUCUUCCUUGAGAAGCUACUAAUCUCUCUAUCUCCUUCUUCACCGUCCCUUCUUUUCUAAAACCUAGGUAUGAUUUUCGUUAACUAUCUUCUCAUCAUUCAAUUGAUUAUAUCAUCUCUGAGAAUAUCAAGUACAUUUCGGAUCCAGAUUUGUUCAAGAUCUGGACCGACCGGUGUUGACGAAAAAGGAAUUACUCUUUGUUUUCGGAAGGAUGUUUGUGGGUUUAGCUAUGACAUGUGCUGAUAAACUUUCUGAUGUACCGACUAAUCUUUAGGUCAUGUUUGGGGGUUUAGUUAUAAUCAUCUGUAUUAUAAUCGAUUUUCCUUUUGAUUGAAGGUUCUUCCUUAAUUUUGUUGUUUUUCAUGUAAUUUAUUCAUCUGUGUUAAAUCCAUAUUUUCCCCGUUUCGUUUAAUAACAAAAUCAUGUUAUAGUUGCGUAUAAUAGCACCAGAUUUACUUUGAAUAAGUAUGUUAUGUUAUAAUAGAUAAUGAUCAUGAUUUAUCGUUUUUUAUUUUGAUCUUUAUGUUCUUUGUUUCAUGAUUUCAUCAGAACAAGUUACAAUUCUGAUAUUUUGUCGGUUUAGUAUCCGUCGUUUUUAUGGUUUCUAGAUUUGAGGUCUUCUUUGCGUUUUGAUCAUUUAGGGUUUUUUAUACAUUUGUUAAAUCGUUGAUAAUUUAUCCUAUUAAGGAAUUGAUUUUAGGGUUUUUAUGCUUAACAAAUUUUUAACGCCCCUAAUUUAGUUUCUUUGAUUUUAGGGUUUUUUAGUUGUUAACAGAAUAACAUUUUGAGUUGGGUUUUCUGGAUCUGAGAUUAUUAUACUAUAAACUUGUGUUUGAUCUUAUUGUGAAUGAUAUGGUUUUGCAUGCUGAAUUUUGUUUGAAUUUAGAUUUUCAAGAACGCGUGUUUGAUCAAUUUCACACUUAGUCACAUGAUUAAUUUUGUUUUAUGUGAUGUUGGGGGUUCUAUAAUUUUAAUAUGGGAUUGUGGUUUGGUUGGGAUUGUGUGAUUUUGUUGCGAGAUUAGUGUAGCCACGGUGUUUGAUGAAAUGACUCUGUGAAGGAAGACAUGUUAUUGAUGGCAAGGCCGCCGGUGAAUACAUAUGGUUAACUUACAAGCAAGUCUAUGACACAAUAUUGAAGCUUGGAGAUUCCAUCUGCACUUGAGGAGGAAUUAACAAAGGGGCAAGAUGUGGAAUAUAUGGGACGAAUUGCCCAAAAUGGGUUGUAAGCAUGCAGGCCUGCAAUGCUCACAGUCUUCAUUGUGUCCCUUUAUAUGACACUCUAGGUAUGUAUCAUCCUUUUUGGUGCUUAGAUAUAACUCUAGGUUAUGUUCAUCAAUGGUCUUUUGCACACUGACAAUUCUGCUUGUGUGCAGCAGCAACUGACUUGAAUCUUUGGUAAUGGUUUUUUAAGGUGCUGGUGCAGUGAAAUACAUUAUAUGUCAUGCAGAGAUCUCAAUUAUAUUUGUAGAAGAGACUAAAAUUUUUGAGGUCGUUGGAAAAACGUCUCAGUUUUGUUUUACAUUGUCAUUAACAAGAUUUAUGAUUCUUGCCUUUGUAACCUUUUAGAGCUGUCUGUACACUAUCUUGCUUCUUUGUUUUUUAGUUUUUGAGAAAAAAAAAUCUCAUUAUUUAUAGGUAUUAAAAACGCUACCCUAUAAUGCAAAGUACUUGAAAAGUGAGUUUCUUGUCUAUUUUCAUCAUGUUUAUUUUAUGGUCCGCACAUGAAUUAAAUUGUUUUAUAGCUCUUGUGAGCUUUAGCACAAUCAUAAAUGAGCAGAAGCAAAUGGCUGAAACAUGUGGCUUGGAACUUUAUUCUUGGGAAACUUUUCUGCAUCUGGGAAGUUAAGACCAAUAUGAGUUGCCAUCAAAGAUGAGGAGUAAUGUCUGUACAAUCAUGUACACAAGUGGAACCACUGGGGAACCAAAAGAAGUUAUGAUCAAAGAUUGUACGGGAGGCGAUGGUGUCAUUUUCGUCAAGGACAGUCGUAGCUCCAAUAAUACUAUGUUCACAUAACUCAUUCUUCAUGCUGCAUUGUAGAUUUCUGGUUUUGAUUCAUGAUAUCUUAAUGAUUUUUUUUUUACGUUUAUACCCUUUAGGAUGUAUUGGAAAUUCUCCGCCUGUGCUUGCUAAGGCAUAAACUUUCAUGCAUGCUAGCGGUGAGUCUUAAGGUUGGAGCAAUUGUUUCAUGAUUUAAGAUGACAUGGAUUUGCUUUUUGGACAAUUUCGACUAUUGCCAAAAGGUGGGCUUGGGGGCACAAUGGGUAAAUGUCAUGCUGCUAUCGCUUGCUUUUCUAGUCUGAGUGAUAGGAGAUUCUGUUGGAUGUAUUGUUACGUGUAUUGAGAUAAACCUCCCACGUGUAACCACAACUCUGUUUUACCAUAUGUGUCUAUGACUCUUAUGUAUGGUCACGUGUGAUUAAUACUUAGAUAUCUGCAUG